UACAGAGGUCCCAAGCGUUGUUCGGAUUCACUGGGCGUAAAGGGUGCGUAGGUGGUCAGGUAAGUCGGAUGUGAAAUCUCCGAGCUCAACUCGGAAACUGCAUUGGAAACUACCUGGCUCGAGGGUUGGAGGGGGACUGGAAUGCUUGGUGUAGCAGUGAAAUGCGUAGAUAUCAAGCGGAACACCAGUGGCGAAGGCGGAGUCCCUGGACAACUCCUGACACUGAUGCACGAAAGCUAGGGGGAGCAAACAGG
rnacentral:rRNA from 1 species